rnacentral:lncRNA from 1 species
GAUCCUUCAGGAAUUGCUGCACUGUCUUCCACAGUGGCUGAACUAAUUUACAUUCCCACCAGCAGUGUAAAAACAUUCCAAUUUCUCCACAGCCUCACCAGCAUUUACUGUUUCUUGACUUUUUAAUAAUUGCUAUUCUGCUCUCUGCUUGUCUGUUGUUGGUGUAUAGGAAUGCUUGUGAUUUUUGUGCAUUGAGUUUGUAUCCUGAGACUUUGCUGAAUUUGCUUAUCAACUUAAGGAGUUUUGGGGAUGAGACGAUGGGAUUUUUAAAUAUAGAAUCAUGUCGUCUGCAAACAGAGACAGUUUGUCUUCUUCUUUUC